GUGAGUGCGCCGGAGCUGGAGAGCCGGGGUGGUCUGUAAAACCACUGCUUAACCGCUGAGUAAGUUCGAAUCUUACCACUCACACCA
rnacentral:tRNA from 1 species